GAGACGUCAGAGCCGCUUCAGUAAUCUCAUGACGCUUUGGCCCAGUGUGGGGGCAAAUGAGGCCCAUAUUCAGCAUGGCGUGACAGGGUUUGGGAACUAUUGAGCAGACAGCAAUGCCUGAGGCUUUAGAUUUUGAUCGCGUGAGAAAGAAGCCAUUUGGAAAGCAG